GGGGAUGUAGCUCAGUUGGCUAGAGUGCUUGACUGGCAGUCAAGAGGUCACGGGUUCGAAUCCCGUCUUCUCCACUA
rnacentral:tRNA from 2 species